rnacentral:rRNA from 1 species
CCUACGGGAGGCAGCAGUAGGGAAUCUUCCACAAUGGACGAAAGUCUGAUGGAGCAACGCCGCGUGAGUGAAGAAGGGUUUCGGCUCGUAAAGCUCUGUUGGUAGUGAAGAAAGAUAGAGGUAGUAACUGGCCUUUAUUUGACGGUAAUUACUUAGAAAGUCACGGCUAAAUACGUGCCAGCAGCCGCGGUAAUACGUAGGUUGCAGGCGGUGUCCGGAUUUAUUGGGCGUUAAGCGAGUGCCGGCGGUUCAAUAAGUCUGAUGUGAAAGGCUUCGGCUCAACCGGAGAUUUGCAUCAGAAACUGUUGAACUUGAGUGCAGAAGGGGAGAGUGGAACUCCAUGUGUAGCGGUGGAAUGCGUAGAUAUAUGGAAGAACAUCAGUGGCGAAGGCGACUAUCUGGCACAUAACUGACGCUGAGGAGCGAAAGCGUGGGUAGCAAACAGGAUUAGAUACCCGGGUAGUC